rnacentral:rRNA from 1 species
AUGUUUCAUCUGGUGAAGCAGAAAAAUUUCCCUGCAGCUUUCAGAUGUUACUGGAAUAAUCAAAAAUUUGAUUCUCUUUCAAAUGAUUACUUGUAUUACAAGAUGCUUAUCCAUGGGCAUAGUGAUUCUGCUUUUGGACAUUAUCAGCAAGAGAUGAGAUUUAUUAACUCUAAUGGAUCCCCCAUUUUCCUUUCUAGGAAAAAUCAAGAGUUAUGGCUACUAUACAGAGGUUUCUUCGUUGAAGUAAACAUGUUCAAGGGGAAUAAUAAUAUGCCUACUGAACUUUCUGAAGAUGUCCACACUUCACUGAAAAAUAUCGGUGGUGCUUUGGAUUCAAUUCGUCAGCUAAGGACGGUCUGGCUGAUGAGGAUUCAAAUCUGA